UAAUUUGGCAGAGAACCAUUGCAAAAGACUUAGAAUCUUUAAACCCUCUU
rnacentral:tRNA from 1 species